UUCAGGUCAGCCCUUUGUGAACCCGGAUGGAACUCCUGCGAUAUACAACCCUCCCGGAAGUCAGCAGACGCUGCGUGGCACUGUCAGUGGGCAGCCUCAACAACCCCCACCACAGCAACCGUCUCCUCAGCCUCAGCAGCAGGUCCAGGCAUCACAGCCUCAGAUGACAGGGCCACUGGUCACUCAGUCUGUCCAGGGCCUGCAGCCAUCUUCCCAGUCUGUGCAAUAUCCAGCGGUCUCUUUCCCUCCCCAGCAUCUCCUGCCUGUGUCGCCAACGCAGCACUUCCCCCUGCUAUAGAUGACGCUGAGUGCAUGGCCUGGGCUGACUGUGAUGUCAUUGUAUACAUGUAAACGUCUCAUGCCUGACUGGUAGAAUCCAUCCCUCCGAACAGCUUGCUUUCUUUUGCCUGUCUUCCCUAAGUUAAAUGCUUCUGCGUUCCGAUAUCCUUUUUAAAGUUUACUAGCUAACUGGCUGGGGAAAUGUCAAUAAAACACUUGUUAAGUCCGAGGGACUGAGUUCAGAUUCCCAGUACCCAUAUAAAGAGCUGGCCACGUGGUGAAUAUCUGUAGACUCAGUGCUCUGGAGACAGAAGUAGGAGAGCCAUGAGGGCUUCCUAGCCAGUCAGUGUAGCUAAACUGGUAAGUUCCAGGUUCAGCGAGAGACCCUGUUUCAAAUCAUAAACUGGAGAGAUAUUGGAGGAACACC
rnacentral:lncRNA from 1 species